CGCAGCCGCGGUAAUUCCAGCUCCAAUAGCGUAUAUUAAAGUUGUUGCAGUUAAAAAGCUCGUAGUUGAAUUUCGGGAUCAAUACGUCGGUCGUGCUUAGGUACGUACUGGCGUAAUUGAUUUCUCCCUUCUGACGAACCAUGAUGUCAUUAACUUGGUGUCAUGGGAAAUCAGGACUGUUACUUUGAAAAAAUUAGAGUGUUUAAAGCAGGCUCACGCUUGAAUACAUUAGCAUGGAAUAAUGGAAUAGGACGUUCGAUCCUAUUUUGUUGGUUUUUAGGAUCAACGUAAUGAUUAAUAGGGAUAGUUGGGGGCAUUAGUAUUCAAUUGUCAGAGGUGAAAUUCUUGGAUUUAUUGAAGACUAACUACUGCGAAAGCAUUUGCCAAGGAUGUUUUCAUUAAUCUAAGAACGAAAGUUAGGGGAUCGAAGACGAUCAGAUACCGUCGUAGUCUUAACCAUAAACCUAUGCCGGCUAGGGAUCGGGAUGAUGUUAAUUUUUAAUGUACUCAUUCGGCGCCU
rnacentral:rRNA from 1 species